rnacentral:rRNA from 1 species
AUUGAACGCUGGCGGCAGGCUUAACACAUGCAAGUCGAGCGGGGUGAUGGUGCUUGCACUAUCACUUAGCGGCGGACGGGUGAGUAAUGCUUAGGAAUCUGCCUAUUAGUGGGGGACAACAUCUCGAAAGGGAUGCUAAUACCGCAUACGUCCUACGGGAGAAAGCAGGGGAUCACUUGUGACCUUGCGCUAAUAGAUGAGCCUAAGUCGGAUUAGCUAGUUGGUGGGGUAAAGGCCUACCAAGGCGACGAUCUGUAGCGGGUCUGAGAGGAUGAUCCGCCACACUGGGACUGGGCAACGGCCCAGGCGCCUACGGGAGGCAGCAGUGGGGAAUAUUGGACAAUGGGGGGAACCCUGAUCCAGCCAUGCCGCGGGUGUGAAGAAGGCCUUAUGGUUGUAAAGCACUUUAAGCGAGGAGGAGGCUCUUUUGGUUAAUACCCAAGAUGAGUGGACGUUACUCGCAGAAUAAGCACCGGCUAACUCUGUGCCAGCAGCCGCCGUAA